ACUCUGUUUCUCGGACAAGUGUCUGAUAUUUCGGAGGUUUUUUAGAAUAAGCCGACACUAAAUCUCUUUCGGGAAUACUUCUUCCCUUUAAAUUAAACAAACACUUCACUAAAAGUACUCACCAGAUCAUACUUAACUCUACAAGAAUCAAAAUUUUUAAACAAAACUCAAUUCUCUAAUGACUAUGCAAGUGAACUAAAUCACCCCAGACACUCAAAUUCCUUCGGCAAAAUUCAGACCUUUAUUAGUAAACCUAAAGAAAAGGCACAUAAAAGAACCAAACUUUAGCAAAGCUAUGGAGAGAGUUGUAGCAGUUAAAGAAGAAACUACUACUUCUUAUUCGUCUUCGAGCUUAUCUCCUCAACCAAAGGAGGGAUUGCACGAAAUGGGUCCACCUCCAUUUCUUACAAAGACAUUUGAAAUGGUAGAGGACCCAUCAACUGACUCAGUGGUUUCAUGGAGUAGAGCUCGUAAUAGCUUCAUUGUUUGGGACUCUCAUAAGUUCUCUACUACUCUGCUUCCCAAGUACUUCAAGCACAGUAAUUUCUCGAGCUUCAUUCGCCAGCUUAACACAUAUGGUUUCAGAAAGAUUGAUCCUGACCGAUGGGAAUUUGCAAAUGAAGGGUUUUUAGGAGGGCAGAAGCAUCUACUGAAGACUAUCAAGAGAAGAAGACAUGUGUCCCAGAGUAUGCAACAGCAAAGUGGAGGAGCUUAUGUUGAAUUAGGAAAAUUUGGAUUGGAUGGUGAGCUUGAAAGGUUAAAGAGAGACAGGAACGUGCUAACGGUGGAGAUUAUAAGGCUUAGGCAGCAGCAACAACAGUCGAGGGAACAAAUUGCUGCAAUGGAGGAUAGAUUAUUAAGUACAGAGAAAAAACAGCAGCAGAUAACAGCAUUCCUUGCUAAAGCCCUCAACAACCCAUCUUUUAUCCAGCAAUUUGCUCAAAGGAGUGCACAAAGGGAAGAAUUGAGAGGUGUUGGAGUUGGGCACAAGCGGAGACUUGCUGCGAGCCCAAGUGUGGAAAAUUUGGAAGAAGAAGCUGCUUCUGGUUCCGUGGGUAUUGGCCAAGUAGUGGAUUACACAGAUGAAGGGUUGGAAACCAUGGGAACAGAGAUAGAAACGUUUCUGUCAGCUGCUUUGGACAAUGAAUCAAGUACUGAUGUUAGGGACUCAAUAGCAGGUUCUGGACAAGGGAGUAGUGGUAUGGACAAAUUGGGAUCUUUUAAUGAGACUGCUUGGGAGGACUUGCUGAAUGAUGAUAUAAUUGCCCAAAAUCCUGAUGAAGAAACCAUUCCUAGCGAAGAAGCAGAACUUGAUGUGGAAGUUGAGGAUUUGGUUGCGAAUCCUGAGGACUGGGGCGAGGAUUUGCAAGACCUGGUGGAUCAAAUGGGUUAUCUAAGGUCAACGCCAUGAAUUAACAAAUUGCUAUUAUGCAAUGGUUACGAACUUGACAUGGUGUUCUGAGUUGGUCUCUGCAACUCCAUUCCUGUUUCUGUAGUGCAGGGGAUGGUGAAAGUUGCAGUGAGGCCGACAGAUGUUUCCCAUUCCUCCAUAUCCUUCAAUUAUAAUAUAGCAUUUCUGUAUUCAACGCAGACUUUGCUUAAAUUCUUCCGGAAAUUUUUUAAUUCUAUUUGAUUAUUCUCUACUUCAUUUUGCAGGGGGGCUAACCAACAAAGAUCUAGGAGGGGUUUCAAUCCUGGUCUCAUUUAAGGAGGAUCUGAAAUCUACAUGCCGUCUACACAAGCUCUUCUUGUCAAAUAUUUGCAAUCAAAUAGUCUAGUCCCUGUACAUUCUGUCGGUGCAUAGUUUGUUCUGCUGUAUACAUUCACAGAAAGUUCAAUGGAGGUAAUAAUUGAUUUUGUCUA